rnacentral:misc_RNA from 1 species
CCGAGUUUACAACUCCCAAACCCCUGUGAACAUACCUAUUGUUGCUUCGGCGGUGCCUGUUCCGACAGCCCGUCCGAGGACCCCAAACCCUGAAUUUAUUAAAGUUAUCUUCUGAGUAAACCCUUAAAUAAAUUA